AGCAGCAGUGGGGAUAUUGCACAAUGGGGGAAACCCUGAUGCAGCCAUGCCGCGUGUGUGAAGAAGGCCUUCGGGUUGUAAAGCACUUUCAGUAGGGAGGAAAGGGUGUAGUUUAAUACGCUAUAUCUGUGACGUUACCUACAGAAGAAGGACCGGCUAACUCCGUGCCAGCAGCCGCGGUAAUACGGAGGGUCCGAGCGUUAAUCGGAAUUACUGGGCGUAAAGCGUGCGCAGGCGGUUUGUUAAGCGAGAUGUGAAAGCCCUGGGCUCAACCUAGGAAUAGCAUUUCGAACUGGCGAACUAGAGUCUUGUAGAGGGGGGUAGAAUUCCAGGUGUAGCGGUGAAAUGCGUAGAGAUCUGGAGGAAUACCGGUGGCGAAGGCGGCCCCCUGGACAAAGACUGACGCUCAUGCACGAAAGCGUGGGGAGCAAACAGGAUUAGAUACCCUGGUAGUCCACGCCGUAAACGAUGUCUACUCGGAGUUUGGUGUCUUGAACACUGGGCUCUCAAGCUAACGCAUUAAGUAGACCGCCUGGGGAGUACGGCCGCAAGGUUAAAACUCAAAUGAAUUGACGGGGCGGU
rnacentral:rRNA from 1 species